AGAGUUUGAUCAUGGCUCAGAACGAACGCUGGCGGCGUGCUUAACACAUGCAAGUCGAGUGCGCGGUUGUAGCAAUACAACUGGCGCACGGCGCACGGGUGCGUAACACGUGGGCAAUCUGCCCUUCGAUGGGGAAUAACUCCGGGAAACCGAAGCUAAUUCCGCAUAACAUUCCUUGGACUUCGGUUCGAGGACUCAAAGCCGUAAGGCGUCGAAGGAGGAGCCCGCGCACGAUUAGCUAGUUGGUAGGGUAACGGCCUACCAAGGCUUUGAUCGUUAGCUGGUCUGAGAGGAUGGCCAGCCACACUGGAACUGAGACACGGUCCAGACUCCUACGGGAGGCAGCAGUGGGGAAUCUUGCACAAUGGGCGAAAGCCUGAUGCAGCGACGCCGCGUGGGGGAUGAAGCAUUUCGGUGUGUAAACCCCUUUCGACCCGGACGAAUGCCUCGCAAGAGGAGUGACGGUACGGGUAUAAGAAGCCCCGGCUAACUAGGUGCCAGCAGCCGCGGUAAGACGUAGGGGGCCAGCGUUGUUCGGAAUUACUGGGUGUAAAGGGUUCGUAGGCGGUGUGGCAAGUUGGGAGUGAAAUCUCUGGGCUCAACCCAGAGGCUGCUUCCAAAACUGCUGUGCUUGAGUGUGGGAGAGGCGCGUGGAAUUGCAGGUGUAGCGGUGAAAUGCGUAGAUAUCUGCAGGAACACCCGUGGCGAAAGCGGCGCGCUGGACCACAACUGACGCUGAGGAACGAAAGCUAGGGGAGCAAACAGGAUUAGAUACCCUAGUAGUCC
rnacentral:rRNA from 1 species